rnacentral:rRNA from 1 species
GAUGAACGCUAGCUACAGGCUUAACACAUGCAAGUCGAGGGGUAACAAGAGAAAAGCUUGCUUUUCUUGUUGACGACCGGCGCACGGGUGAGUAACGCGUAUCCAACCUGCCUAUAACUAGGGAAUAACCUUGCGAAAGUAAGACUAAUACCCUAUGAUUUCCUUUGAUGACAUCAGAUUAGGAAUAAAGAUUUAUCGGUUAUAGAUGGGGAUGCGUCUGAUUAGCUUGUUGGCGGGGUAACGGCCCACCAAGGCAACGAUCAGUAGGGGUUCAGAGCGGAAGGGACCCCACAUUGGAACUGAGACACGGUCCAAACUCCUACGGGAGGCAGCAGUGAGGAAUAUUGGUCAAUGGGCGGAAGCCUGAACCAGCCAAGUAGCGUGCAGGAUGACGGCCCUAUGGGUUGUAAACUGCUUUUAUACAGGAAUAAAGUUAGCCACGUGUGGUUAUUUGUAGGUACUGUAUGAAUAAGGACCGGCUAAUUCCGUGCCAGCAGCCGCCGCAG